GGCCACGUAGCCAAGUAGCUAAGGCACUUCUCUGCAAAAGAAGUAUACGUCGGUGCAAAUCCGACCGUGGCCUCAA
rnacentral:tRNA from 1 species